rnacentral:rRNA from 1 species
GAUGAACGCUGGCGGCGUGCUUAACACAUGCAAGUCGAACGGUGAAGCAGGAGCUUGCUCUUGUGGAUCAGUGCCGAACGGGUGAGUAACACGUAAGCAACCUGCCCCUGACUCUGGGAUAAGCGCUGGAAACGGCGACUAAUACUGGAUAUGUGAUGUGACCGCAUGGUCUGCAUCUGGAAAGAAUUUCGGUUGGGGAUGGGCUCGCGGCCUAUCAGCUUGUUGGUGAGGUAAUGGCUCACCAAGGCGUCGACGGGUAGCCGGCCUGAGAGGGUGACCGGCCACACUGGGACUGAGACACGGCCCAGACUCCUACGGGAGGCAGCAGUGGGGAAUAUUGCACAAUGGGCGGAAGCCUGAUGCAGCAACGCCGCGUGAGGGAUGACGGCCUUCGGGUUGUAAACCUCUUUUAGCAGGGAAGAAGCGAAAGUGACGGUACCUGCAGAAAAAGCACCGGCUAACUACGUGCCAGCCGCCGCCGUAA